rnacentral:rRNA from 1 species
UUUCUGACUCAUAUCGGAGGAAUCCUGAAAGAAUCGAACACUUCCAGGACAACACCGAGGGAAGUCGUCCCAUAACUUGGGAUUGACCCCGUAUCGACUUGUGGUUUCAAGACCACGGACUUCGACAUUUGUUGAGGUAAGACGUCAGCCCCCAAAUAAUUUGGGGUGAAGGUAUAGUCAGCGCUUCAGGUAACUGAAGUAUUAAGACAGCGAUGUCGGCUCACCGCAUCCUGGAGGGGCAGUACCUUCCAAGGGUCCGUCUGUUCGCCGGUUAAAGCGGUACGCGAGCUGGGUUCAGAGCGUCGUAAGACAGCUCGGUCUCUAUCCAGUAGGGGCGCGGGGUUUUUGAGGGGGACUGAUUCUAGUACGAGAGGACCGAAUUGGAGCAACCUCUGGUGUGCCGGUUGUAGCGUCAGCUGCAACGCCGGGUAGCUAUGUUGCUAGAGGAUAACCGCUGAAAGCAUCUAAGUGGGAAGCCCUACCCAAGAUAAGAAACCCAUGUUUGAUAGCAAUAUCAGACGAGAGACUCCCUGCAGAAUACAGGGUUGAUAGGCCAGCAGUGUAAGUGCGGUAACGCAUUUAGCUUACUGGUACUAAUAAGUCGAUUGAUAAAAUACG